rnacentral:lncRNA from 1 species
UUUUUGCACUUACAAAUUUUUCGAGUCGAAAUAUAAACUGUGGUCAGAGUUUGUGCAGACAGAUGGCCAAACGAACUUCGAAAAUAAAAAUCUGAAUCCUAUUACACGGACUCUGCGCACCGUAAACGUCAUCGAAUUGGCAAAAGCACGUACGAAAGAAAACGAAAUAAAUGGACAAACGUAAAUCAUGUGUUAAAACACAAUUCUAAUACAGCAACGGCGCGCAACCAACACGUGCCAAUUCUCAUUUAUUCAGUUCCGUUUCGGCGCUUCAAAAACAGGUGAAUGCCUAAUGUUCGGUGACAUUGUCACUUUGAACUCAGGAAUUCUGGAAAUGUGCGCGCACACAACAACACGCAAACAUUUUGUCGUAAAAUAUGUACAUAAGGCAAGUGAACAGAGCAUCCAUCGUUACACAAUAACCGAAGCCACAAAUUUUCGUUUUGGUUGCCAACAACAAGUAUGUGCUGGUGCAAGUUGAGGACAAAUUAUUGAGUUAGGCUGUCAAAAAAAGGAAACAUGAAAGCGAAAUUUUGGCCAAAUAUAUGGCAAAUAUCACAAAUGCCUAUUUAUUUACUAUACAGCAGAUGUAGAAGCGGCAAAC